AAUGCAUUAUCAUUACAUGAAAAGUGACGAUGAGCAAAGAUAAAGAGGCAAUAAGUAGCAUUAUCUAAAAUUUUUAAUCACUUCCUAAAGCAUUGGAGCCACCAGAAUUCCAGAAAAGUCAACAGAGCGUCGGAAAAAGGAAUAGGGGGUUUGGAUAAGAUUCCGUUAGAACUAAGGACCAACAGCACACAAAUGCUCUUAUAUUUGCCGGUACACAUCAUUAAGCAUUCAGCCAAAACUAAGAACACCAAAUGUGAUCUUUCUAAUUUAACUCUACAAUACAUAGUUCGCAAGGACCAGGAAUUUUACACAAAUUAAAGACUGGUCAUUGUUGAUCUGCCGCAGCUGCCAGCGGCUGGAAUGCCUUGAGCGGAUUUGUGAUGACACCAUCAAUAAGCCCAUAGUCUCUGGCUUCUUUUGCGCUCAUGAAGUAGUCACGGUCUGUGUCCUGGUUGAUCUUCUCAAGACUUUGACCAGUGUGGUAGGCGAGAUACCCAUUUAGGUUUGCCUUAUGAUGCAGCAUUUCAUUUGCCUGAGAAUUAUGUCUACGAGUUAGGGCCAUCUCAAAAGGAAAAUAGCAGUUUCAAUUACAAGAGAAAAAAUACACAUAUAUAAUUAUAUAUUGAGAACCCAUCACCCAUGAGUCUCAUACCAUUGAAAAAGUGUGUGUGUAAUUUAUAUCAGUUCUUUCAUAAAAUAAAAUAAAAUAAGCAGAACAUUACAUCUAUGUUUGAAAUUUCUUAAUAUGCAUCAUUAGCAAUUCAUUAGGAACUGUAUGCAGAAAGUUUAUUCCCCAUCCAGAGACAAGUGAAUUUAGAUCAAAAGUACAAUUCGUUAUCAAAGAGAUACCAGAAUUGAUCACGAGCACGUAGAAAAUAGAGUGAAAUCAGGUAGUAUACCUGAAUAUCUAUGUCAGAUUGCCCACCUUGAGCUCCACCAAGAGGCUGAUGGAUCAUUAUCCUUGAGUUUGGCAAGCUGUAUCUUUUCCCCCUAGGAACAACCACCAUAGGUUAAAACUUUUAACCAACAAAUCAAAGCAGCUUUUUUCACCUUUUGUCCCAGCACUAAGCAGGAAAGCUCCCAUACUGUUAAAAGCACACACAUUAGUAAGUGUACAUAUAAAGUGCACCAUGCAACAAGUUAGUAGUAUUCUCAGGAACAGUGUUCCCUUUGCCUACGUGUUCACUGUUGAAAGAUUAAUUUUAAAAGUAAUUACAUUCUUACACUAGAAAAAUGUCAGCUCUUCUCUCAGAUAGAAAGUAAUGACUGGCAAUAGUUAAAUAGAGUGAUAAUAGUGCUACAACCAAUCCUCAGCAUGGAACAGGGAUCCCAACUUAAUAAAAUUUCUGGAUUUUAUUAAGGGACAUAUCCAUCUAAACAGGGUUUCUUAUAUGUUUCAAAUUGCACGUCCAUCACAGAAUCCCUAAUUAACAAGCAUGAAAGGCUAUAAGUGACAACCGUGCAAAACAGGAGCUGACAAGUAGCUAUAUGAAAUGUAUAACAUGAUACUGCACCAAACAGAAUAUGAACACACAAGUAAUUAUCAGACUCAAAAACUGCUGAAAUUAUUAGUUGUACUUAUCACUCUUCCAGCCAAAGGGUUGGGGUAUGAGGUCCAAGGCAACUAACAUUCUCCAUAAUGUUAUGCACAGUGAUGAAAUUCAGCUCAACCAUUCAAAGAUCUAAGAAAAGAACCUUGAGCUUUCAUCAUCUAAUACUAUUAACCCAUGUUUGAAACACUAACCAUAUGCAUACUUGUCAGAGGAAAAUUAGGACCAAGAAAAGAAGGAGCCAUCACAUAUACAGCAAAGCAAGUAAACAAGAUAAGAAAAUGAAAGAAAAUAAGUGGGAUAUUUUGUAAAUAUAUACAAGAGAGACAUAUAAUAGUAUCUUGCAUAAUUAUCCUUCAACCCCAUAGACUUGGCAUUUUCAGGCAAUUAUUCAGUUUUUAUGGAUCUCCUGAUGUUUAAAAGCUACUUAAUAGUUCUUCCUUUUAUUUUACCUCUUUUUUUUUUUCAGCUUGCUAUCUUGUAUUCAUCUCCUAGGCCUAGGAUGCACCCACUUUUCACAUUUUCUAAUAAAAAUUUUCCUUAUCCAGAAAAAAAUGGAUUGCAGUUCCAUUAAUUAUAACAAAUCAUUCUGAAAAAAAUCCAAGAAAGUUUUAUCUUUACUAACAUCAGAAUGCUCAUGCUUAAAGUGGACAAUAGAUCAUUAUAAUGUCCCAGCAAGGUCCCAAGGUACAAAUGGGGGAAAAAGUAAUAGUUAAACCAGAAAAUAUUAUACCUAGCAGCCAAUCCAACACAAACAGUGGAUACAUCAGGUCGGAUAUGCCUCAUUGUGUCAAAUAUCGCCAUGCCAGCUGUAACUGAUCCUCCUGGAGAAUUUACAUACAUUACAAUAUCCUGUGUCCAUGAAAAAGAAUGUGCCAUCUAGUAAAUCUUUUGGACAAUUUCUUUAAAAUUUACAAAUUGUGUUAAGAGUAAUAUCAAUUCACAUGAUUUUGUGUUCACGUGUGUGCCAGAGAGAACUGAAAUUUGAAGGGCUAUCAUGAAACACAAAUAUUAGCAGUUUUCAUUUUCUCUGAAAAGACAUUUUCAUUGUCCAAAACAGAGACAAGACAUCAGCAGCUGUACAAGGACAUAAACAAACCUUAUUAGGAUCAACUGCAUCAAGAUAGAGAAGUUGAGCAACAAUAAUGUUUGCCAUGUCAUCAUCAACAGCUCCACCACAGCGUAUAAUUCUGUAUUGAAAAAGCUGACUAAUAACACUCUGGAAUCUCUCAUGCACCAUUGGAGGUGGCCCUUGUGCUUGACCUUGCCCGUUAGCGUAUGCAGGGAAGUAAGGUGAUGAUGGGAUUUCCAAAUCAUCCCUUAUUGACCAGAUCCCUCGUCGAGAACUUUUCUCAGGUGCCCAAAACUCACCAGAGUAAACAGCCUUUGCUGAAGACAGCUGAAAAUUCUUUCUACUGCUACUACUACUACUUCUACUUAACUUUCUCAAUUUUCUGGAAUGAAGUGGCUCGAAGGGGAGAGAAGACUUCUGAGAAUCAAGAGUGGUGCUAGGGUUUGGAGAGAAGACGAAGGAACUGAAUCUUAGAGAGGAGGCCGAGGAGGAGACCAAUAAGCGUGCCAUUUGUCGCCGAUUACUUCUUGACACAGCCCGAACAAGUAUUAAAUUGGUUAUGCUGUUUUAGGUUAAAAUUUUAGCGCCUUAUCCUAUUAAGUUUUAGGGCUCGACGGCUCUCAAUUUGGGAGGCGAUA
rnacentral:misc_RNA from 1 species